rnacentral:rRNA from 1 species
UACGUAGGGACCGAGCGUUGUCCGGAUUCAUUGGGCGUAAAGAGCUCGUAGGCGGCUGCUCAAGUCGAAUGUGAAAACUCGAGGCUCAACCUCGAGCCUGCAUUCGAUACUGGGCGGCUAGAGUCUGGUAGGGGGAUCUGGAAUUCCUGGUGUAGCGGUGGAAUGCGCAGAUAUCGGGAGGAACACCAGUAGCGAAGGCGGCACUCUGGGGCCGGAACUGACGCUGAGGAGCGAAAGCGUGGGUAGCAAACAGG